UCAAGAUGUACAACAUGUUCACAGCCCUGGAGGCUACCUCUUGCCCCCUCCUGGUCUGCGUUCCACAGAAAAAGCCAGGUCGCUCGCUUCCAUCGCCCUAGAUGAGUGUUGCCAGCAUCUGAACUUGCUAUGAAUGAAGGGAUACAGUAUGAUCAGGCUCUGUUUUCCUAUCUGCUUUUCGUGAGCCAGGAGUCAACACGUGAAUGCCAACAAUUGGAAUCUGGGUGUGAAAGCGUGCUGGCAGGUGGCAUCCCCUGCAAAACGUGGGUUCUGGGGUUUGACGUGCACAGUUAAUGUCUCCUUAAAGGAGUUGUCUUGAGCAGAAUGAUUUUCACCUUCUUUGCUGAGAGCACCCCAUCUUAAGAGCCGCCCUCGGUCUGACAGCGGAAUCUUUUCUCUCCAAGCUGCAUGAGUCAGACCUAGAGCCUUGCAUUGUGUGCUGUUCUGGUCACGACGCUGUGCCCACCUCCUCCGAGAAGACUGCCGUGCCAGCCUGGCCCACUGCCAGUGUCUGGAAACCAUUGGGCUGCACCUGUGGGGUCUUGCUCUCUCUUCACAUCUAACCUCCCUCCCCCGACUAGCAUCAGCAGCCUGCACUGUGUCUCCUGGGUUCCUGGGGUCACUUGAAAUAUCUACAAGACACCAAGCCACCUCACAUUCUCCUCGGGGAGACGGAGUCUGCUUCCUCUCCCCGACAUGCAGCAGGCAGAGGACAUGGGGUUGGAGAAAGAGCUGGGAACGGGCUUUGGAGCCAGAGACCUGGGUGCAAAUGCUGGCUCGUGUCCCAGACCGGUAAGCUUGCCUCAUCUCCUCACCUCCCACAAGGGAAGUAGUACCCAUGCUGUGUUGGAAGGAUGAAACGAACUAUGCAAAGUGCCAGCACGUAAGAGAUUCUCAGAAGUGACAGCUACUGUCACAGCCCAACGUUGAAGAGGAUGGAACCUGAAGCUUAACUGCCUGGGUUUGAAUUCUGACGUCACCACUUGUUAGCUCUGAGGCCUUGGGCAAGUUACUGAACCCCUCUGUGCCUCAGUUUCCCCAUCUCCACAAUAGAAGUAGUGAUAGUACCUACUUUACAGGUGGCUAAGAAUGAACUUAACCAAUAUCUAUAAAGUGCUUGGGACAGUUCUUGGCAUACAGUAAAGGCCAGGGCUGCUAACAGCUAAACGUAACAUUAAUGAGCACCUGGCAACAAGGACAUGGAAGCUGAGACCUCGGCAUCGCCUGGCAUUUGAAGGGUCAGCUGUCUCGGUUGACGCAAAGAGCGAGGGAUUGUCACAGAAUUGGUACAAGUGACAAUGGAAAUUGCGUUUCCUCCAGUAUCACCAUGCAAAGAUUAUUUUGUAAAGAAUUUACACAGAUGGAAUUGGCAAUGGAAAAACUUUGAGAGAGAAGAACCCUGUACGUUAAAGCGUUUGAGGAUUUGGGGGUGCAACGAAGCAUGCUUAAACUUGCCACAGAGAGAUUUUCCAGGAAAAAUCAAGCAAGCAUCUUCUGUUCAAACGUCACUGGGUUCAUAUUUUAAGAAACCUUAAGCAGUCUGGCUUCGGCAGAACAAUUCCCCCGAAGGAACCUUCCAUGACACAGCUUUUAUGUUAAGUGCUUUGUUUUACAUAUGUGAUAAAAGUUGGUUAAGACCAUC